AACAGGAUUAGAUACCCUGGUAGUCCACGCCGUAAACGAUGUCGACUUGGAGGCUGUUCCCUUGAGGAGUGGCUUCCGGAGCUAACGCGUUAAGUCGACCGCCUGGGGAGUACGGCCGCAAGGUUAAAACUCAAACGAAUUGACGGGGGCCCGCACAAGCGGUGGAGCAUGUGGUUUAAUUCGAUGCAACGCGAAGAACCUUACCUACUCUUGACAUCCAGAGAAUUUAGCAGAGAUGCUUUAGUGCCUUCGGGAACUCUGAGACAGGUGCUGCAUGGCUGUCGUCAGCUCGUGUUGUGAAAUGUUGGGUUAAGUCCCGCAACGAGCGCAACCCUUAUCCUUUGUUGCCAGCACGUAAUGGUGGGAACUCAAAGGAGACUGCCGGUGAUAAACCGGAGGAAGGUGGGGAUGACGUCAAGUCAUCAUGGCCCUUACGAGUAGGGCUACACACGUGCUACAAUGGCGCAUACAAAGAGAAGCGACCUCGCGAGAGCAAGCGGACCUCAUAAAGUGCGUCGUAGUCCGGAUUGGAGUCUGCAACUCGACUCCAUGAAGUCGGAAUCGCUAGUAAUCGUAAAUCAGAAUGUUACGGUGAAUACGUUCCCGGGCCUUGUACACACCGCCCGUCACACCAUGGGAGUGGGUUGCAAAAGAAGUAGAUAGCUUAACCUUCGGGAGGGCGUUUACCACUUUGUGAUUCAUGACUGGGGUGAAGUCGUAACAAGGUAACCGUAGGGGAACCUGCGGCUGGAUCACCUCCUU
rnacentral:rRNA from 1 species